rnacentral:rRNA from 1 species
CCUACGGGAGGCAGCAGUAGGGAAUCUUCCGCAAUGGACGAAAGUCUGACGGAGCAACGCCGCGUGAGCGAAGAAGGCCUUCGGGUCGUAAAGCCCGGUUGUCAGGGAAGAAUAAGUGCCGGAGUAACUGCCGGCACCUUGACGGUACCUGGCCAGAAAGCCACGGCUAACUACGUGCCAGCAGCCGCGGUAAU